UUAAAGACAUCAUCCUGCAGUCCAAUCCGCUGCUGGAGGCUUUCGGAAAUGCCAAGACCGUCCGCAACAACAACUCCAGCAGAUUUGGUAAAUACUUCGAGAUCCAGUUCAGUCGAGGAGGCGCUCCUGAUGGAGGGAAAAUCUCCAACUUCCUGUUGGAGAAGAGUCGAGUCGUUUCACAGAAUCCUGGAGAGAGAAGCUUCCACAUCUACUACCAGCUGUUGGGAGGGGCGACUGCAGAGCAGAGGAGAACCUCGGGGUCACGACC